GACGAACGCUGGCGGCGUGCUUAACACAUGCAAGUCGAACGGAAAGGCCCUGCUUUUGUGGGGUGCUCGAGUGGCGAACGGGUGAGUAACACGUGAGUAACCUGCCCUUGACUUUGGGAUAACUUCAGGAAACGGGGGCUAAUACCGGAUAGGAGCUCCUGCUGCAUGGUGGGGGUUGGAAAGUUUCGGCGGUUGGGGAUGGACGCGCGGCUUAUCAGCUGGUUGGUGGGGUAGUGGCUUACCAAGGCUUUGACGGGUAGCCGGCCUGAGAGGGUGACCGGCCACAUUGGGCCUGGGAUACGGCCCAGACUCCUACGGGGGGCAACAGUGGGAAAUAUUGCACAAUGAGCGGACGCCUGAUGCAGCAACGCCGCGUGCGGGAUGACGGCCUUCGGGUUGUAAACCGCUUUCGCCUGUGCCGAAGCGUGAGUGACGGUAAUGGGUAAAGAAGCACCGGCUAACUACGUG
rnacentral:rRNA from 1 species